rnacentral:rRNA from 1 species
AUUGAACGCUGGCGGCAGGCCUAACACAUGCAAGUCGAAUGGUAACAGGAAACAGCUUGCUGUUUCGCUGACGAGUGGCGGACGGGUGAGUAAUGUCUGGGAAACUGCCUGAUGGAGGGGGAUAACUACUGGAAACGGUAGCUAAUACCGCAUAACGUCGCAAGACCAAAGAGGGGGACCUUCGGGCCUCUUGCCAUCAGAUGUGCCCAGAUGGGAUUAGCUAGUAGGUGGGGUAACGGCUCACCUAGGCGACGAUCCCUAGCUGGUCUGAGAGGAUGACCAGCCACACUGGAGCUGAGACGCGGUCCAGACUCCUACGGGAGGCAGCAGUGGGGAAUAUUGCACAAUGGGCGCAAGCCUGAUGCAGCCAUGCCGCGUGUAUGAAGAAGGCCUUCGGGUUGUAAAGUACUUUCAGCGGGGAGGAAGGGAGUAAAGUUAAUACCUUUGCUCAUUGACGUUACCCGCAGAAGAAGCACCGGCUAACUCCGUG